GACGAACGCUGGCGGCGUGCUUAACACAUGCAAGUCGAACGGAAAGGCCCUGCUUUUGUGGGGUGCUCGAGUGGCGAACGGGUGAGUAACACGUGAGUAACCUGCCCUUGACUUUGGGAUAACUUCAGGAAACUGGGGCUAAUACCGGAUAGGAGCUCCUGCUGCAUGGUGGGGGUUGGAAAGUUUCGGCGGUUGGGGAUGGACUCGCGGCUUAUCAGCUUGUUGGUGGGGUAGUGGCUUACCAAGGCUUUGACGGGUAGCCGGCCUGAGAGGGUGACCGGCCACAUUGGGACUGAGAUACGGCCCAGACUCCUCCGGGAGGCAGCAGUGGGGAAUAUUGCACAAUGGGCUGAAGCCUGAUGCAGCAACGCCGCGUGCGGGAUGACGGCCUUCGGGUUGUAAACCGCUUUCGCCUGUGACGAAGCGUGAGUGACGGUAAUGGGUAAAGAAGCACCGGCUAACUACGUG
rnacentral:rRNA from 1 species